rnacentral:rRNA from 1 species
ACGCUCGACACCUACGGAGGCAGCAGUUGGGAAUAUUGGACAAUGGAGGAAACUCUGAUCCAGUGACGCCGCGUGAAGGAAGAAGGUCUUCGGAUUGUAAACUUAUUUUGUCAGGGAAGAAAAAUGACUGUACCUGAAGAAAAAGCACCGGCUAACUACGUGCCANAGCCGCGGUAAUCUGAGCGGGCUGGCAAGGC